CCAACGGGGGGCUGCAGUGGGGAAUCAUGGUCAAUGGGCGAAAGCCUGAACCUGCGACGCCGCGUGAGUGAUGAAGGUCGUAAGAUCGUAAAACUCUUUUCAGGGAUCUUAAAGCACAACCGUCAACAACGGCUGUGUGUGACUCUCCCUGGAAGAAGCCCCAGCCAACUACGUGCCAGCAGCUGCGGUAAUACGUAGGGGGCGAGCGUUAUUCGGACUUACUGGGUGUAAAGGGUCUGUAGGCGGCCCUUCACGUCGCGUGUCAAAGUCCAGGGCUCAACGCUGGGUGGGCGCGCGAUACUGACGGGCUUGAGGGCUGGAGAGGUGAGCGGAAUUCCCGGUGUAGUGGUAAAAUACGUAGAGAUCGGGAGGAACACCAGCGGCGCAGGCGGCUCACUGGACAGUUUCUGACGCUAAGAUACGAAAGCGUGGGGAGCAAACA
rnacentral:rRNA from 1 species